GCCAUGCAAGUCUCAGUACAUGCCGCACUAAGGUGAAACCGCAAAAGGCUCAUUAAAUCAGUUAUGGUUCCUUGGAUCUUAAACAGUUACUUGGAUAACUGUGGUAAUUCUAGAGCUAAUACAUGCAAACAAGUCCCGACCAGAGAUGGGAGGGACGCUUUUAUUAGAUCAAAACCGAUCGGCGUCCGGCUCCGGCCGGCGCCGUCUCUUUUGGUGACUCUGGAUAACUUUUAGCCGAUCGCACGGUCACAGUACCGGCGACGCAUCUUUCAAAUGUCUGACUUAUCAACUGUCGAUGGUAGGCUCUGCGCCUACCAUGGUUGUAACGGGUAACGGGGAAUCAGGGUUCGAUUCCGGAGAGGGAGCCUGAGAAACGGCUACCACAUCCAAGGAAGGCAGCAGGCGCGCAAAUUACCCACUCCCGGCACGGGGAGGUAGUGACGAAAAAUAACGAUACGGGACUCAUCCGAGGCCCCGUAAUCGGAAUGAGUACACUUUAAAUACUUUAACGAGUACCAAUUGGAGGGCAAGUCUGGUGCCAGCAGCCGCGGUAAUUCCAGCUCCAAUAGCGUAUAUUAAAGUUGUUGCGGUUAAAAAGCUCGUAGUUGGAUCUGUGUGCCACGCUGUCGGUUCACCGCCUGUCGGUGUCAACUGGCAUGUCUGUGGGACGUCCUGCCGGUGGCGGUACGGGCUGCCGGCGCUGCGUAGGGGCUCGCCCCCGAAGCACGCCGGCGUGUCCCGGUCCGCCGAUCCAAUCCCGCCGCGGUGCUCUUCACUGAGUGUCGAGGUGGGCCGGCACGUUUACUUUGAACAAAUUAGAGUGCUCAAAUCAGGUCGUAUU
rnacentral:rRNA from 1 species